GUUGGGUUAAGUCCCGCAACGAGCGCAACCCUUAUCCUUUGUUGCCAGCGGUCCGGCCGGGAACUCAAAGGAGACUGCCAGUGAUAAACUGGAGGAAGGUGGGGAUGACGUCAAGUCAUCAUGGCCCUUACGACCAGGGCUACACACGUGCUACAAUGGCGCAUACAAAGAGAAGCGACCUCGCGAGAGCAAGCGGACCUCAUAAAGUGCGUCGUAGUCCGGAUUGGAGUCUGCAACUCGACUCCAUGAAGUCGGAAUCGCUAGUAAUCGUGGAUCAGAAUGCCACGGUGAAUACGUUCCCGGGCCUUGUACACACCGCCCGUCACACCAUGGGAGUGGGUUGCAAAAGAAGUAGGUAGCUUAACCUUCGGGAGAGCGCUUACCACUUUGUGAUUCAUGACUGGGGUGAAGUCGUAACAAGGUAACCGUAGGGGAACCUGCGGUUGGAUCACCUCCUUACCUUAAAGAAGC
rnacentral:rRNA from 1 species